UAAAAGGGUCAGUUGGCUAAAUAUGCCACUCUCAUCUGUGAUUGGUGAGUGCUGUAUGGCAAUCAAGACAUAUGGCUGACAUAAUUUUUGUGGGAUUAUAGGGUUGGCUCGUUUAGCCGACCCUCCU